CCCGCCCCCCAGCCAAAGUCAUUGGCUAACACCCCGUACCCAGCCGCUACAUUAUACAUAGUUAAAUGUUAUGUUGAAGAGGUUCAUUUAGCCUACUGACGUGUAUUUAUAAAUGGUUGAUUUAUAUAGGCUAGUAGGUAAAGUGUUGUACCUGACAACUCUUGAUGGUACAAUCCACAUAACACGCCACAGACAACGUCACGCUAACAUCACGUGACAUCUCUGCUGAAGGCUGCAGAAGCAAGGUAGCCCAAACUUGUCAGGUACAACACUUUACCUUACUAGCCUAUAGAAAUCAAUCAUAUAUAAAUAGUUAAAUGUUGUUACUCACAUACGAAAAACGAACCGCACUCUUUGAAACAGUAUGUGGGCACACUUUUAUUUUGAAGUGUCUCGUUUGGUCUGUCGACGGAUGUAAGGAAGCUACUUCCGGGUAUGGCCAACAAGGUGACGCUUUACUAUGGAUCAGAGCGGUCAAGCGAACAUUGAUCCCGACCACUUGUCAACCGGCAGGUUUCGCUGCCGUCGAAUUCCCUCAGAGACUUGCCUCAAGACAGCCGUGGACACACCCCUUUGACUAUCAGAUACCAUUUGACACAAGAGCUCUUCAGGGGCCAGUUAUUCCAGGCCAUUGAAUCCACAUCAAAACCAGCCACUUUCUGUGUGUGUGUGUGUGUGUGUGUGUGUGUGUGUGUGUGUGCGUGUGCGUGUGCGUGUGCGUGUGCGUGUGCGUGUGCGUGUGCGUGUGCGUGUGCGUGUGCGUGUGCGUGUGCGUGUGCGUGUGCGCGUGCGUGUGCGUAUGCGUGUGUGAGUGAGAGAAAGAGGGGGAGCCUCAUCGUUUCUCUCGCUAUCCGCUUCUGUCUGUAAAUGAAACCCCAACGCGAAAUCUUUUGGCUCGUCAAGGGAAAGGCACAGAUAUUAACUUCUCUCUGCAGGGCGACUGACCCGUCUUUAAACUGCGCACUCAGGUUAAUAUUGUUAUUGUAAAUAUGGAGAAACGGCAGAAAUACUUAAAGGGGAACUGCACUUUUUUUUGGGAUUUUAUCUAACGUUCACAAUCAUUAUAAGAGACAAGAGGUCAAAAAAAUGUUGGGUUUUUUUGCAUUCAAAUGUGUAAAAAUCGGCUCGUUUUUGGUGGCUAGCAAUGCCGCUAAUGGGAGUAUAAUCCAUUCAGCCGCUAAAAUUACAUUAAAAAUGCAUCAAUUACGUUCCAUAACCUGCAUAAUAAACAAGCCGUACAAACAUAGUUUUUGUAAGAGCAAACACUGAGGAACUCUUUUUCUAGCAUAGUAACACAUCGUGGCAGCAAGAUGGAACAGGGGUUAGUGCAUGUGCCUCACAAUACGAAGGUCUCCUGGGUUCGAUCACCCAGGCUCGGGAUCUUUCUGUGUGGCAUUUGCAUGUGAUUGCGUGGGUUCCCUCCAGGUACUCCGGCUUACUCCCAUCUCCCAAAGACAUGCACCUGGGGAUAGGUUGAUUGGCAACACUAAAUGGGCCCUUGUUUGUGAAUGUGAGUGGGCAUGUUGUCUGUCUAUCUGUGUUGGCCCUGCCAUGAGAUGGCAACUUGUCAAAGGUGUACACCGCCUUCCACCCAAAUUCAGCUGAGAUAGGCAGUGUAUGUACUGUAGUUGUGAUAACAAACACGAUGUUCUACAUGUAUCAUGAUCAAUAUUAAAAGGAUUACCUCAAUGGACAGUUGGUCAAGCUGUUUUAUUCAAGUAGACUUUGGGUAAGCACGCCAUUUCUGUCCGCAUAACUUGGCUCCAAGUUCCACAUUUAUACCCGCAAGUCUCGCCGACCUCACUCUCUCGGCUACAGUCUGCUCCAAAUGUUACCCCUUUUGUGCUUGCUCCUGUAACCAUCCUCUGUAUAUUCAGGCUCAAAAACAUUUCUCCAAAGAUAGUUGUCUUUGUUGUCUGUCAUGAUUACAACACACUCGGGUUUUAUUCCCGGAAGUAGGAACACACAUUUGUUGCUGGAAGGGCAACAUCCGUGGCAGCACUCAUGCAGCCCCAGACCAUAAUGCUAUACCACUAAUUGGAGAAAGAACACAAUUUUCUUCAUACUCAGUUGUGUGGUCAGCUAUUUAGACAAUAAUGGAUGUGUGUAUGUAUAAAUCUACACUGUUAUACAGUAUGUGUCCACGCCCUAAAUUAGUCCAAUUCCUCAAAUAGUUCGGCUUUAGCCCAGGGAAACACUUUAAUCCGAUCAUAUUCGUUUUUUAAAAAAUUGGACUAACACACGUGGAUAAUGCGAUUGAAAACCAAAUCCCUCGGGGGUGUGUGACGCCGCAGAGAACCCUUCCUAUCACGCACUCUCCAGUCGUAACACGCGGGAUACAACACGGAAGCAUAUACCAUUCAAUAAAAAUGUAGAAACAUUUGGAAUAAAGAGGAAACUAUUUAUUUGCUUACACAUGAAAACAACAGAACAUUUUGAAGUGCCUCGAUGGUUGUAAAAAAGAAAGGUAGCUCAGGAAAUUUCAAAUUCCGGCUUAAUUUGUAGUCCCGAACAAAAUAUGACUGAGAUAAAAGAUAAUAAAGCAGGUAUAUUAAAGGCGAAUAAUAAAGCGUACAAAACCUCUUCACGUUGCAUUUGUGCACUCCAAACUCAUUAACAGUAACUCUGUAUAGUGUAACUCUGGCUUUGGAGCAAUCAAAGCUGCUCACACGGUCACUAAGGUGGCCACUAUGUUUGACAGAUCAACUUAAUGUGUAUUACCGGUAUAUUUAUCCAUGAAAGCAUUUUUGUUGUAAAUUGUGAGGUGCGUCUGUUAAAAUCAUUGUUGUUUUUACAAAUGAUGACAGAUGUGAACAAGAUGUGAACAAGAGCCUGUAUUGUCUUUGUGUCAA